AGUCAACAUGCCCAGGGGACGUGGAUAACCUCGGGAAACUGAGGAUAAACCGCGAUAGGUCAUCACUUCUGGAAUGGGUAAUGACUUAAAUCUAUAUGGCCCCUGGAUUGGACUGCGGCCGAUCAGGCUGUUGGUGAGGUAAUGGCCCACCAAACCUGUAACCGGUACGGGCUCUGAGAGGAGGAGCCCGGAGAUGGGCACUGAGACAAGGGCCCAGGCCCUAUGGGGCGCAGCAGGCGCGAAACCUCUGCAAUAGGCGAAAGCUUGACAGGGUUACUCUGAGUGAUUUCCGUUAAGGAGAUCUUUUGGCACCUCUAAAAAUGGUGCAGAAUAAGGGGUGGGCAAGUCUGGUGUCAGCCGCCGCGGUAAUACCAGCACCCCGAGUGGUCGGGACGUUUAUUGGGCCUAAAGCAUCCGUAGCCGGUUCUACAAGUCUUCCGUUAAAUCCACCUGCUUAACAGAUGGGCUGCGGAAGAUACUAUAGAGCUAGGAGGCGGGAGAGGCAAGCGGUACUCGAUGGGUAGGGGUAAAAUCCGUUGAUCCAUUGAAGACCACCAGUGGCGAAGGCGGCUUGCCAGAACGCGCUCGACGGUGAGGGAUGAAAGCUGGGGGAGCAAACCGGAUUAGAUACCCGGGUAGUCCCAGCUGUAAACGAUGCAGACUCGGUGAUGAGUUGGC
rnacentral:rRNA from 1 species